rnacentral:rRNA from 1 species
UACGUAGGGAGCAAGCGUUGUCCGGAAUCAUUGGGCGUAAAGCGCGCGUAGGCGGCCCUGUAAGUCCGUUGUGAAAGUCAAAGGCUCAACCUUUGAAAGCCGAUGGAUACUGCAGGGCUAGAGUCCGGAAGAGGCGAGUGGAAUUCCUGGUGUAGCGGUGGAAUGCGCAGAUAUCAGGAGGAACACCAAUAGCGAAGGCAGCUCGCUGGGACGGUACUGACGCUAAGGCGCGAAAGCGUGGGGAGCAAAACGG